CACUGGUCGAGAGAUGAUGUUGCUCUCCUGAUGAGUCAAGGCAAGACAGGACGAAAUCAGUG
rnacentral:hammerhead_ribozyme from 1 species